rnacentral:rRNA from 1 species
AGAGCGAACGCUGGCGGCAGGCUUAACACAUGCAAGUCGAGCGCUGUAGCAAUACAGAGCGGCAGACGGGUGAGUAACGCGUGGGAACAUACCCUUCGGUUCGGAAUAGCUCAGGGAAACUUGAAUUAAUACCGGAUACGGCCGGGAGGCGAAAGAUUUAUCGCCGAAGGAUUGGCCCGCGUUCGAUUAGCUAGUUGGCGAGGUAACGGCUCACCAAGGCGACGAUCGAUAGCUGUCUGAGAGGAUGAUCAGCCACAUUGGGACUGAGACACGGCCCAAACUCCUACGGGAGGCAGCAGUGGGGAAUAUUGGACAAUGGGCGCAAGCCUGAUCCAGCCAUGCCGCGUGAGUGAUGACGGCCUUAGGGUUGUAAAGCUCUUUCGCUAGGGACGAUAAUGACGGUACCUAGACAAGAAGCCCCGGCUAACUUCGUGCCAGCAGCCGCGGUAAUACGAAGGGGGCUAGCGUUGUUCGGAAUUACUGGGCGUAAAGCGCAUGUAGGCGGGUCUUUAAGUCAGGGGUGAAAUGCCAAGGCUCAACCUUGGAACUGCCUUUGAUACUGGAGAUCUUGAGUCCGGGAGAGGUGAGUGGAACUGCGAGUGUAGAGGUGAAAUUCGUAGAUAUUCGCAAGAACACCAGUGGCGAAGGCGGCUCACUGGCCCGGAACUGACGCUGAGAUGCGAAAGCGUGGGGAGCAAACAGGAUUAGAUACCCUGGUAGUCCACGCUGUAAACGAUGGAUGCUAGCCGUUGGGGAGCUUGCUCUUCAGUGGCACCGCUAACGCUUUAAGCAUCCCGCCUGGGGAGUACGGUCGCAAGAUUAAA